UACGGAGGGUGCGAGCGUUGUCCGGAAUCACUGGGCGUAAAGGCGCGUAGGUGGCGGGCCAAGUCAACGGUGAAAGCUCGACGCUCAACGUCGAGUCGGCCGUCGAUACUGGUUUGCUGGAGCACUGUAGAGGCCAAUGGAAUUCCCGGUGUAGUGGUGGAAUGCGUAGAUAUCGGGAGGAACACCAGUGGCGAAGGCGGUUGCCUGGAGCUUUGCUGACGCUGAGGCGCGAAAGCGUGGGGAGCGAGUCCGG
rnacentral:rRNA from 1 species